rnacentral:SRP_RNA from 1 species
GCUGGGCAUGGUGGUGGGUGCCUGUAAUCCCAGCUACUUGGGAGGCUGAGGCAGGAGAAUCACUUGAACCCAGGAGGCUGAGGUUGCAGUGAGCCAAGAUUGCACCACUGCACUCCAGCCUGGGUGACAGAGCAAGACUCCGUCUCAA